CCUUCAAACCAAAAAAUAGGGGUGCAUUAUAAACAGAACUUUGUUUCAUUUUAAUAUUGUUAAAAAUUCUUUCAUUACUAUCUUCCGUCAAGGUGAUCACGAAAGUUUCCCACUUCAACGUUGCGCUCGAGUUUAUUCUCUUUGAAGCAUCAUUGAUGUUUCGUUCUGUCUUAAGUGCUCUAGCAUUGGUUAUUUUCUUUUCUUCAAGAGGACGAUCCGUGGGACUAGAUUCCAUUUCAAUUAGGGGGUAUUUAAUUUAAUAUGAAUUAAGUAUAAAUGAAAUAAAUUUGAACCGGUAUUAGGGAUGAUGUAGGUGAAGUUUAUAUCGACAUACUCAAUAAGUAUGUGACCCACACGCCUAAAGGAGAAGGAGAGCACUUCAUGACAAUGAUGAUGAAAAGGAAGACAGAAAUGAAGGAUUAAAUAAUUCGCUUAUAUGGAUAAAGUAACAUCAUCGGCAUACAAAUCAUUAAUAUGUUGAGAUGUUCAAAGUUGACCCCUGAUGCCUUUUUGUAAUGGCUAAAACGAGUUCUAAUUAACGCUUAAUUUAAUUAGAAAACCAUUGAUUGAUAGAUCUGGGAUUGUCACAAUUUGCACUUCAUCAUCUCUUUAUAGCUUUGAUAUUUAUCCUCCUAUCUUUCAGUGGGAUUCUCAUAAUUGUUUCAAACACUAAACUAUCUUACUUUAAUUUAUAGGUUUAAAAGUAUAAAUCAACGUUAUAGUAGACUUCUUUUUUAAAUCUAUGUUAUUGAUUCCUCUGAUCUUUUAAUUAACAUCUAUGGAACUGCCCCUGGUAUUUUUCCUGGAAUACAGGUGUAUUUCCCGUAAGUAAUCUAGCUGUCUUCAAACAACAUUGGAAUAUUUAGAGUUAAAACACCGUCUACGACUUCAGCAAGUCCAAAAUGUUGGAGAGAAAGAUGGAUUCUGUCGUAAAGGACAAACUGGAUCCGGGGUCAUAAUUCACAUUCAAUUCCAUGAGGCCUAUGGAAGAGAUUUUGGGGUUUCACAAAAGACUAUGUAGACAGAUAUUACAGAAGUGGAUAUAAGUAUACUUUUUUGGGCAAAGAGGCCACUUUUGACAUCAGCAAAGAAACUCAUCUUCUCCGUUGCAAGACUCUUUUUAUGAGUUUUGACUGAGUCUUUUUAACGAUUUUUCGACACUUUUGCCCCCUUACAGGCCUGAUGGCAACACUCUAGGUUUAAAAUUUUAUGUUGAGGGGAAGCCUGCAGUGUUCGUAAUUCAAUCAAUGGGGAUCUUAAAGCAACUGCGAGAUAGCACUGGGACGUUAUGACUACAAACAACAUUGCAUUGGAUUCCAGGUCCUCCAUUGCCACCUGGAUGCCAUCGUUGGCGCCAAGGGUGGCUACAUAAAUGAUUAAGUUUAUCUUAUAAACUCGAAAACUGCAGAAAAUAGUUGUCAUGAAAAAAGAACUGAGAAAUAUAAUUUCUUCUAAGAAUUCUACGAGACCUGGAAUGAGUAGAAAAUAUUCUCGCACCUGCAAAGAUAAUGCUAAAGCUCUUGUUGCUCUUGUUGUGGCUGAUGAAAACUUUCAGUUCGAUAAACAAUUUGGAUCUAUAAGAUCUUCUCGAACUAAUCAAAAAGCUUAUGAUGAGAGCAAUAAACAACAAAUCAUUCAGCAUAAAUUGUCACACAUUAACAAUAAGAGUUUCAAAAAAUCAUUAUCUUUAGAAGAGAGACUUAAAAAAAUUUUAAUACAAGAUAUUGUUGAAAAAUCUGGAACUUACUUUUGCUUGACUUGUGGCUCAACCUUUGAAGAUUAUUGUGAGAUACAAUGUCAUAGAAAUAAAUGUGUUUCUCAGUUUUUAAUGAUGAGUUAUUCAUCUUCAUCUCCUUGGUGGUAUAGUUACAGUUCUCUAAAAAGACGCCGAAUUGGAAAUUCAAAAGCAUCUACUUUUUUGGAUAACUACCUACAAAAUGCAAUCAAAGUAAUUCCCGAAUCGUCAUUUAAUAAUCUUCAUGGAACUAUUUAUCAUAUUAAUAGUGUUGAUGGAUAUUUCUUGAAGACUAAUCCAAAAAUACGUACAGUUAAUAAAGUGAAAUUAAACCUUUCGGGUUCUUGGAAGUUUGAAGAAGUUUGGAAAGGAGGAUGGGAUGAAACAUUCAUUGAAAAUUCCUUGAGUUGGAAAACAUUUGGUGAUAUAAAUUUUUUGAAGAAUAUGAGCGUUUUUAGUUGGAAUGAACAAAUCAUACUAAAAAAACAUUUUAAAAAAUGGCUAUCUUCUCGGUCAGUCGAUUUAGUAAGUAAUCAGAGUCAUAAGGCAGACUUCCGAAAAUGGAAGCGCUUUCUUUCUUCUCUUGAGCUUCAAACAGCUUUGCCCAUGAAAAAAAAUAGGAAGGCACCUCCAACUUUUUCAGGCGAAUGGGAAUAUGACCGCACUUACAUUUGCUCGGUUUGUUCUCACCAGUUUGAUGAUUUAGAGGAAGUUAUGCACCAUAAAUGGGAAGAACACCCAUAUUGCUUAGUUUCCCAUAUUACACUUCUCAACUCAAUUCACUUACCUCCUCAUCAAAUGUACCCACAAGUUGGAGUUGCUUCUUUAAACAGCAUUGGUACUGAAUUUUCUUGUGUUAAACGGUGUAGCAAAUGUUUGAAGGUGUUUGACAAUUACAUUGACAUUAACUCACCUGAAGCUUUUUAUGUUCAUCUGCUUACGUGUGGAGGAGAUUUGGAAUCAGCAUCUAGUUGGUCAGUUCGUAGGAAUAAUCAAGGUGGUAAAAGGAGACGAAAGAGAACUACGGGUGUUAUUCGAUCCAUAUGCAACAAACAUGUAGACGAACUUCGAAAGGUAGAGCGAGAACGUCGGAAGAGACGAUUAGAAAUUUUUUCUAAGCCUCGUCCUCCAAUCGCUAGAAUUACACGUUUACAGUUGAAAAGUAAUACAACUCACCUAUAUAAUUUAGAAGAUAACAGUAUGCCGUCUUUUAUAAGUGAAUGUAAAACAACCAAUACAUCUAUUAGAGUAUCGAAUAUAUCCUGUUCUGAAAUAAUAGUUGACUUAUUUGAUCCGUCAGAAAUAUUUAUUAAAUAUAUUAUUGAGGACGUUUUGUCUCGUGUGUUAGAUUUAAAAAGUGGAAAGAAACGAGGAAGACCUACUAAGACUAUUAAGAGAAGGAGACAUUUAUUUAGCACAAAAAAAAGGAAGAGAUGUCCCCUUCAUAUCGAAAAUACAAAAUAUGAAAAGGAAGAUAUGUUUUCAUCGCCCUAUAGUGAUCCUCCAAUUUUUGCUAGGAAAUCAUCACCCAACGAUUCUGUUCUUAUAUACGCUAAAAAGUCCCUGCCUAACGACUUUAGCACAAGAAGUGAUCAAAAAAUAUAUUCUGGAUAUAAAUGUUCAACCUUCAAUGAAUUUGCCUCCUCAUCAAGUCAAAAGGAUGAAGAUGCUUUUUGCUCUUUAGAUUUAACUAUGAUAAAUGUUGUAGAUGAUUUACCUACUAAGAACAAAAAUAUUAAUAAAAUUAACGAGACAACUACUUUUCAAGUUUAGGAAUAACAUAUAGCUAAAUGUUUAUUAUAUGCGAGAUAUAAUGUUAAAAAUCCACAAAAAAAAUGGCAAGAACAACUGCUUGAAUAGUUUUAACUUCAAAUGGUGAACAAGUAGUUUGGAUACCUUCAUUUAGUUCGUAUAAAAACAUGGGCAUCCUCCAUGGAUUCUAACAUUUUGUUGCGCAAUUUAUUUAAGAAAGGUUUUCCAAAUGACUUACGAGGAAUGAGGGUUCUAAAUGGAAUUUGAAGUAUGAUAGGAUGAAGACAGAUUUUAUUUCAACUCAUAAUUAGUAUAUUUAUUUCUUUAUAAAAAUGUAUCAUAUUUAGUAUAAACAUAUAGUUUACAUUUGUUGUUUAUAAUUUAGUUUUACAUCUGACUUAUAAAACGAAGAAAAGGUAUUCUUCAAGUACUUUGAAGUAUGAUAAUAAGAAGACGGAUUUUAUUUCUUCUCAUAUUUAGUAUAUUUAUUUAUGUAUAAAAAUAUAAUUUAAAAUUGUA
rnacentral:misc_RNA from 1 species